ACAUUACCGGUAUUUAUGGAGAUCCCAUUAAAGUGGUUGUGAUGUGUUAAAUUCAUCAUAUCACAGCCAGCUUUGAUGAGUUCUUUAUAAACAAAAUCA
rnacentral:pre_miRNA from 1 species